UACGUAGGUCCCGAGCGUUGUCCGGAUUUAUUGGGCGUAAAGCGAGCGCAGGUGGUUUAAUAAGUCUGAAGUUAAAGGCAGUGGCUCAACCAUUGUACGCUUUGGAAACUGUUAAACUUGAGUGCAGAAGGGGAGAGUGGAAUUCCAUGUGUAGCGGUGAAAUGCGUAGAUAUAUGGAGGAACACCGGUGGCGAAAGCGGCUCUCUGGUCUGUAACUGACACUGAGGCUCGAAAGCGUGGGUAGCGAACAGG
rnacentral:rRNA from 1 species